GGCAGUUUAAAUAAUAUCAUCGCAGGUAUAGAAUUGUGAUCUCAGACAAACUAUUUGUAUACAUUGGGGGAUCGUGAAGAUUUUAUCAGUGAGGAUUUGCUCUCAGAAGGGCGAUGAUAGGUUUUAAACCAUCAGACAUAGUACGAUAAGGUUGUAUGUCUAAAGGGAAACAGCCCAGAACAAGAGUUAAAGGUUCCAAAAUUAUUGUUCAGUGAAAAACAAGGAAGUAUUUUUCAAAUACAGCCAGGAAAUAGGCUUAGAAGCGGCCAUUUUUUGAAGACCUCGUAACAGAGCACUGGUUUUAUUAUAAGUUGAUAUAUCUCAAUUUUUAUAAGUUAAAAGCAUCAAAAAUUUAACGGAUCUAAAUAAUAUACCUAAACCUUGUCCAUAAAUAAAUGUGUUUAUGGGGUAGCGGAACGUUGGGUAAAUCUUAGACUUAAUUUUUUCAAAAUUAAGUAGGCUUAGUUGCACUAUAGUACAUUUCGUUUAUAUUAUUUAUACUAUGGCAUAUUUAAGUGAGAUUACCCCAAGUGACAAUGCUGACAUGAGUAACGAAAAAGGGGCAUCCCCUCGCCUUAAGCUUAUGGUAUUUUCAUUAAAGUAACGGCCCCUAAGUUUAUUGAACUGACCUAAAGGAUUAAAUGAUGGGAAAAUCUUAUUGAUUAUUACAACAUUUAAGGGACUUGCAAAAGACCUGUUACACUUGCCUAAGGAAGGAUUAGGACGCAAUCUCCUAUGACUGGCCGGAGGGUGUAUUACUAAUAAUACAUAUUUUAGGUCUAGUUGGCGCCCUAUGUGCCAGAAUCAAGUCAUAAACAGGUUUCACAGGCGGAGUAUAAAAUGUUCUGGAAAUAAAUAUAUCAAACCCGAAAUCGAGGUUUAAACCGUACCUAAAUACUACCACAAGUAAGCAAGUAGAGUAUACAAAGGC
rnacentral:rRNA from 1 species